AAAUAGCACUGAUGGAAACGGAAAUACUUUUUGGAUCCGUUAUAUUGUAUUAAUGGAUACUUUCCAAAAAGAUUGGAGUGCACAGCAGGAGCAGCC
rnacentral:sRNA from 1 species